rnacentral:lncRNA from 1 species
UCCCUCUCUGCCCCUGCUCCACGUGGGGGCUUUGGCUGGUUUCAGCGUUCUUCUUCACUUCAUAAAUACCUACAUUAAGUACUGUCCCAUCAAGCAAAUACCUUAUUCUCUUGAUAUCUCUGAGUUGAUGGAAGACCCAAGACACUUGGCUCUUCACAUCAUUGGAAGAACCAAGUGUACUUCCAAUAUUCACAGCUUCGGAGGAAAUGGAGAUGAGGUUGAGAGUGGAUGAAAAACACCAAGUGUUCUUCCCAUCUUCACAGCUUCUAAGCAAGUGGAGAUGAGGCUGUGCAAGAACCAAACAAACUGCUGAUCCAGAAGCAGCCUAAAGACUGUCUUUAACCAGGGCCUUGCAUUCUUCAUCUUUCUACCAUUACUCGCCUUCAAGGGCACGAUCGUUAUCUUAUUGACUUCCUACCACUACAGCAACGCACCUGCUUCUCUCACAAAACUUACGGGUGGCAACUGGAAAGAUUCACCAGCAUUCUGUAUUUCACUCCUCAUCUCAAUUCUCUUUUGGCCUGCGAAGCUUUUCAGAUCAGAGAUGAAGAUCAGAUGUAAUCUGGAGUUUGGGAUACUGCAAAGGAAAAGAAGAAUCAUCCUGAGAACUCUUUUCAACCUCACUUGCAAGCGCCAAAGUCAAGAAUACCAAAAGGAAAAAGGAUGCCACUUGAUCAUGACCAAGAAGAACCAGCAAAAGUCGGGUGAAAAAUGAAAUGAAAAAUGCUAAGGCCAGGCAGCUUGCUCACUGCAAGUGCUAAUCUGAAAGCAGAUGGAGUGCAUCUUCAUACACUCCAUCCUGAGACACUCCACUCAACAGGCCAGCCCAGCUGAUGAAGUGCAUUGCUGUCCUGAAGUUUCAUGUGAUGGGCUACUUUUAAGUCUCUUGUUUAUGCUGUAGUACUUGAGGUCUAUGGCAGGACCACAGCACACUCUUAUUUGUCUACCCUUCUUUCUUGAUCGUGUGUGGGAAAGAGAGAACGUGCAGAGGCCCUCAGCCACAUGUUGCACCUGUCACUCUGUGCAGCUACAUCACUGAGCCAAAGUACCAAACUUCAUGCUUGUGAAAGGACUUGACACAAACUACAGAAAUCUAAAAUGAAGCAUCCAAACACUUACAGAAGGGUGGGCCCUCUCGAUGCACCUCAACGUGGGAUCCACAAGUCCUCACGUGGUUUCAUCCAGCACACUUCUCUGUCCCUCCUCGCUCAACUUGCUCAGAGGCAGCUGUUACCAAGGUGUCACAGUGACAUCAUUCAAUUCUGUUGCUGAAGUCAUCACCGUAGGCCCCUGGCAGCGGCAACACAACACUCUCUGUUGCUAAUGCGAAUGUCUCAGAAACAAGUAGAGAAGUACCACUCUCCCCAAGCUGACUUGAAUUGGAGUAGUUCCAAAAUUAUUCUCUGCCCCCCUACAUCUGGGGAAGGUGUGUGAGAAAUCUUUUCCUUAAGAAAGGAUUACAAGCCAAAAAAAGCUUGCUUCUGAUACGUUCCCCUUACUUUUAGAGCUGUUCACCUUUGAUUUCCAAGGAAGAAAAAAGAAGGUGAAAUCAACAAUUCUCCUCCUCCGAGUUGGGAAUAGGAAAUAAGCCCAAUUAUUUAGGAAGCCUGAAAAAGGAAACUAUACAUUUCCUAGUUAAACACCUUGUUGCUUCUGAAAACUUUUCCAGUCCUUUGCAGCUGCAGUGCUUUUCGGUGGGUGGGCAGCCGAGCUCC